rnacentral:rRNA from 1 species
UAGCCGGCCUGAGAGGGCGACCGGCCACACUGGGACUGAGACACGGCCCAGACACCUACGGGAGGCAGCAGUGGGGAAUAUUGGGCAAUGGAGGAAACUCUGACCCAGCGACGCCGCGUGCGGGAUGAAGGCCUUCGGGUUGUAAACCGCUUUCAGUAGGGAAGAAGCGAAAGUGACGGUACCUGCAGAAGAAGCACCGGCUAACUAUGUGCCAGCAGCCGCGGUAAUACAUAGGGUGCAAGCGUUGUCCGGAAUUAUUGGGCGUAAAGAGCUCGUAGGUGGUUUGUUACGUCGGAUGUGAAAAUCUGAGGCUCAACCUCAGGCCUGCAUUCGAUACGGGCAAACUAGAGUUUGGUAGGGGAGACUGGAAUUCCU